rnacentral:rRNA from 1 species
GACGAACGCUGGCGGCGUGCUUAACACAUGCAAGUCGAACGGAAAGGCCCUGCUUUUGUGGGGUGCUCGAGUGCCGAACGGGUGCGUAACACGUGAGUAACCUGCCCUUGACUUUCGGAUAACUUCAGGAAACUGGGGCUAAUACCGGAUAGGAGAUCCUCCUGCAUGGUGGGGGUUGGAACGUUUCGGCGGUUGGGGCUGGAUUGGCGGGUUACGAGCUUGUUGGUGGGGUAGUGGCUUACCAAGGCUUUGACUGGUAGGCGGCAUGAGAGGGGGACCGGGCACAAGAGGACUGAGAGACGGCGCAGACGCGUACGGGAGGCAGUAGGGGGAAGUAUGGCACAGUGAGCGCGAGCCUGUGACGGAGGCGCUGCGUGUGGGAUGACGUCCUUUGGGUUAAGAACCGCUGUCGGCUGAUACGAAGCUGUUGUGACGGUAAUGGGUAAAGAAGCACCGGCUAACUACGUG